CAGCAAGCAAGACGAAGAGCGAAGAUUUGAAGCGGAAAUCGAACUAUUUCACUGCAAAGAAAACCAUCGACGUCCAUAAAGAUUCAGAAAUUGGAGACAGUGGAGGAACUACUCGACCUUGACGAGUUGAUAAAAACUCAACCAAGGAAGAAAGAUUUGCUGAUAAGUAAUUAUAACAUUAUAAUUGUGUAGCUGUUUUUACAUCGGAAAUAUUAUUGUAUUUAGAUAGAAAUUUCAGGUUAUGAAAUUGUGUAGAUAAAACAGGUGUAGAUGAAACAGGUCCUAUACUUGAAUGUAUGUAUGUGUUUGCCAGCCCCUUCCCCCAGUGUAUGCUAAACACAUUCUCUUGUAUAUUUGCAGACAGCCAGGCUCUCAAAGAUUGGUGGAUAUGACUUAAAGAGCUGUUUAAGCACCAUCAUGGACAGCUACUUUCCUCUUUCUCUACAUAUAUAUUAAAAAUAGGCGAUGUAAGACCCAAAUUCUAAUCUAUGAGUGCUAGAUCGGGAAUUAUAGUAAUGCAAAAUUCCGUACUUUUUGGCCUGCGUGUUCAAUUUCAGGCUCAUGACAUAUGAAUUCAUGUCCAAUCUGAACAUGAAGGGGAGAGGGGAAAAAAAUAGCUUGGCUGAGACGAAGCUGCUCGAUGUAGUCACAGCUAGUGUCUUGGAUACCCAGAAGGGGACCGAAACGAUGGUCCAUGAUGCCAUAAAAAAUAAACUGAAAUAUGCCUCUGGACGGAAGGGAGGAAUAGGAUGCGCAUCACAGGC